UACGAAGGGGGCGAGCGUUGUUCGGAAUUACUGGGCGGAAAGGGCGCGUAGGCGGCGAACCAAGUCAGAUGUGAAAGUCCUGGGCUUAACCUGGGGACUGCAUUUGAUACUGGUUUGCUUGAAUUCGGGAGAGGAUAGCGGAAUUCCCAGUGUAGAGGUGAAAUUCGUAGAUAUUGGGAAGAACACCGGUGGCGAAGGCGGCUAUCUGGACCGACAUUGACGCUGAGGCGCGAAAGCGUGGGGAGCAAACAGG
rnacentral:rRNA from 1 species